rnacentral:rRNA from 1 species
AACGAACGCUGGCGGCAUGCCUAACACAUGCAAGUCGAACGAGACCUUCGGGUCUAGUGGCGCACGGGUGCGUAACGCGUGGGAACCUGCCCUUAGGUUCGGAAUAACUCCCCGAAAGGGGUGCUAAUACCGGAUAAUGUCUUCGGACCAAAGAUUUAUCGCCUUUGGAUGGGCCCGCGUUGGAUUAGCUAGUUGGUAGGGUAAAAGCCUACCAAGGCGACGAUCCAUAGCUGGUCUGAGAGGAUGAUCAGCCACACUGGGACUGAGACACGGCCCAGACUCCUACGGGAGGCAGCAGUGGGGAAUAUUGGACAAUGGACGAAAGCCUGAUCCAGCAAUGCCGCGUGAGUGAUGAAGGCCUGAGGGUUGUAAAGCUCUUUUACCCGGGAUGAUAAUGACAGUACCGGGAGAAUAAGCUCCGGCUAACUCCGUG